AGAGUUUGAUCCUGGCUCAGAAUCAACGCUGGCGGCGUGCCUAACACAUGCAAGUCGCACGAGAAAGUGGAGCAAUCCAUGAGUAAAGUGGCGCACGGGUGAGUAACACGUGAAUGAUCUACCUCCGAGUGGGGAAUAACUGAGAGAAAUCUUAGCUAAUACCGCAUAAUACCCACGGGUCAAAGCAGCAAUGCGCUUGGAGAGGAGUUCGCGGCCGAUUAGCUAGUUGGCGGGGUAAUGGCCCACCAAGGCGAUGAUCGGUAUCCGGCCUGAGAGGGCGCACGGACACACUGGAACUGAAACACGGUCCAGACUCCUACGGGAGGCAGCAGUGGGGAAUUUUGCGCAAUGGGGGAAACCCUGACGCAGCAACGCCGCGUGGAGGAUGAAAUCCCUUGGGAUGUAAACUCCUUUCGAUAGGGAAGAUAAUGACGGUACCUAUAGAAG
rnacentral:rRNA from 1 species